rnacentral:rRNA from 1 species
AUUGAACGCUGGCGGCAUGCCUUACACAUGCAAGUCGAACGGUAACAGGUUAAGCUGACGAGUGGCGAACGGGUGAGUAAUAUAUCGGAACGUGCCCAGUCGUGGGGGGAUAACUGCUCGAAAGAGCAGCUAAUACCGCAUACGACCUGAGGGUGAAAGCGGGGGAUCGCAAGACCUCGCGCGAUUGGAGCGGCCGAUAU